rnacentral:rRNA from 1 species
UACGUAGGGGGCUAGCGUUGUCCGGAUUUAUUGGGCGUAAAGAGCUUGUAGGCGGUUUGUCGCGUCUGCUGUGAAAUUUCGGGGCUCAACCCCGAACUUGCAGUGGGUACGGGCAGACUAGAGUGUGGUAGGGGAGACUGGAAUUCCUGGUGUAGCGGUGAAAUGCGCAGAUAUCAGGAGGAACACCGUGGGCGAAGGCAGGUCUCUGGGCCAUAACUGACGCUGAGAAGCGAAAGCAUGGGGAGCGAACAGG